UACGUAGGGGGCAAGCGUUGUCCGGAAUCAUUGGGCGUAAAGCGCGUGUAGGCGGCCCGAUAAGUCCGCUGUGAAAGUCCAGGGCUCAACCCUGGAAAGCCGGUGGAUACUGUCGGGCUCGAGUCCGGAAGAGGCGAGUGGAAUUCCUGGUGUAGCGGUGGAAUGCGCAGAUAUCAGGAGGAACACCGAUGGCGAAGGCAGCUCGCUGGGACGGUACUGACGCUGAGGCGCGAAAGCGUGGGGAGCGGACAGG
rnacentral:rRNA from 1 species